UAGAGGAAGAGAAGGAUGGAGAAAUCACCAGGGGAAUCGCGGAGCAACAAAGAAGCUGUUCCGCUAUAUUAUAAAGCAAUUCACUUUUGAUUUUCAUCUUCUCCAUAAUCGUUUGCUGUCUAAAAUGAGGUCUCAAGAUGAAGAAAAUAUUAACAGUAUCGUCACACAAGCUGGCAUGGACAAAGGAAAACGAAAGCAAUACCAAAUGUUUUUCUACAAUCCAUGGGUAAGAAUCUUGACGAUUUUGAUCUUCCAAGGUUGGCCAUUGAUGUUAACCUACAAUCAGGAGGUUUUCGUGAAGUACUUGAGGAGUCAUCUUUAGGCGUUGAAAUUGAAUCCUUGCGUGCUCGUGAAUCUCUGAAUGCUGACGAGAAAGCUGCUUAUGAUGAGAUCAUAGGCCGUGUCGAUUACAACUUACCCGGUGUUUUUUUCAUAGAUGGUCCCGGUGGAACCGGGAAAACAUUUCUAUACAAUGCCUUGCUUGCAGACAUUGGCGGAUCUACCUUAUAGUUAAGGGGUUCAUAUGACCCUCCUUGCAAAUAAAAUAAUCUUAGAGAAGUGAUGUAAAUCUAACUAGGACCCUCCUUACAAAAUGUAAAGGAACCUCCUUGGAAGAAAAACAAACAAUAAAAGAAAGCUUGAUAGUUUUGUUUAGUGGUGAAAUCUAAAUUUGAGUUUCUGUGUGAAAGAAAUAUUUGUGUAGUAAUGCCCUUUAAACUUUAACAUGAUACAUAAUCUUCAUUUUUUAA